UUACGGCCAUAUCAACUUGAUACACCGGUUCUCGUCCGAUCACCGAAGUUAAGCAACGUUGAUCCUAGACUGUACAUAGGUGUGUGAACCUUGCGAAUACCU